GCCUUGGUGGUGGAACUGGUAGACACGCAGGACUUAAAAUUCUGAUCGCAAGAAUGCGAGUAACGGUUCAACACCGUUCCGGGGGC
rnacentral:tRNA from 1 species